rnacentral:rRNA from 1 species
GCCUCCCUCUUUCUUCGUGCUUAACACAUGCAAGUCGAACGGAAAGGCCCUGCUUUUGUGGGGUGCUCGAGUGGCGAACGGGUGAGUAACACGUGAGUAACCUGCCCUUGACUUGGGGAUAACUUCAGGAAACUGGGGCUAAUACCGGAUAGGAGCUCCUGCUGCAUGGUGGGGGUUGGAAAGUUUCGGCGGUUGGGGAUGGACUCGCGGCUUAUCAGCUUGUUGGUGGGGUAGUGGCUUACCAAGGCGUUGACGGGUAGCCGGCCUGAGAGGGUGACCGGCCACAUUGGGACUGAGAGAGGGCCCAGACUCCUACGGGAGGCAGCAGUGGGGAAUAUUGCACAAUGGGCGGAAGCCUGAUGCAGCAACGCCGCGUGCGGGAUGACGGCCUUCGGGUUGUAAACCGCUUUCGCCUGUGACGAAGCGUGAGUGACGGUAAUGGGUAAAGAAGCACCGGCUAACUACGUG